GGGCGGUUAGCUCAGUUGGUUAGAGCGCAUUCUUGACGUGAAUGAGGCCGGGGGUUCGACUCCCUCACCGCCCA
rnacentral:tRNA from 1 species